UAGGCACGGUAGCGCUCAUGGUGGCAGAGGGCUACAACACACUGUCCUACAACAUACUGUCAAUAUAAACAAAGCAGUUCAAAAGUGUCAAUUCAGGUUUAUUGCAGGUUUAGUGCCGUUUCUCACAGUCACAGUAUGUCAGGUAGAGAUUUGAUGAAAGAUUCUCUGACCAGGCAUCGAGCCAGAACCAAAGCCGAUAAAAGAAAAAAUGAUGCUUUGUAACAGGAACCUAAACGUUCAGGUAACUUCUUGACCGUAAUUUUGGCAGAGGCAGAGGCCGAGUUACCCAGUCUGAUGAAGUUGUAGCAGUUUCUAAUCAAGAAACUGCUAGUGAAAUAACUCCCAGUCUAAUGAAAGAAGUGGUGUACAGGAUAUCAUUCAUUCAGUCGAACUGGAAAAGACAUCAUUGAAGCAAGCAUUUCACAAUUUAACAAGUAGAAAAAGGAAGCAAUCAAGAAAGCGAGUGGAAAACUCGCAUGAAAGACAAAGAAGAUGCUUGGGAUUCCAAGAGAGAUGCUGUCUUUCAAAACUACAUUAGCUCCCGUUCCUACAGUGCAAGUAAAUGUGGUGUAUGUGAAAAAGUCACUAAUCCUGUACAUCACUGUUGAAGUGUCCCUUCCUGUCCAGAAUGCAAAAGCCCUCAUUCGUGUACUACGAAACCUGGUUCAAGAGACGUAACCGUAGUUACAGCCAAUGGUAAAUGAGGGCAACUUCACGGAGGACAACCGAUUACCAGGAUUACAUCGACGAAGACACAGCCAAUUAUCAAGACUACGCUGAUGAAGAAAAUGAAGAAAAAAACUGUUAUCCAUCGUUUAAAACGCUCACAUAUAUUGUCAUGCAAAUCUUGUAAUCGCAUUUGAAAUACAGCUAUUGUUUGAAGGGAAUAAAAGUAUAAUAAUGAGCUUUUUGAUUUGUUUCAUGAACAUUAUUCGUCACCUUAUAGGCAUAUCCGAGUGUGCGUGAAAAUAAAAUUGUUUGCAGU